rnacentral:lncRNA from 1 species
CUCUCUGAUGUUAAAACCUGAAUUAGAAUUAUUUAUGUAUAUAUAUUUCUUAGAAGUAAUGUUAUCCCAGUGGAGGAUGCCCAUAUCUAGAUAUCUAAAUACCGUUCCCCACUAAAAGGAGAUCGAAUUUCUUGGAAAAAUAGUUGAUUUUGGAUCUCAGGCCCAGAAUGUAAAGAGUACAAAGGUGAGCCUGGAACAUCGUGCUAGAAAUCAAGGAAAUGCCCGAAAACUAAUAGGAUCAAGUCAAAAGCUUACAGACCCAGCUUGAGGGAACUCCACUGGCCAAUUGUGAGUCACUUUUGCUGCUAAAAAGAAUAAUGACUGAUAGAUUAUCAAAGCAUUGAGUACAUUUUUAAAAUCCGUAAGUCCAGAGUGAUUCUCAAAAUCAAGGGUGGGGGAAGGGACUUUUUUUUUAAUAGAAGAAUGCCGGCCAAUAAAUGUAGAUGGAAUGGUAGAAUUGGAAAAAUCACCAUGUGCAGUCACCAAUGAUUCGGGCGAAGAUCAUCAAUAGAAGCUAAAACCCAUCUUAUAAAAGGAGGCAGGGCAAAGGAGGAUGUUUGCACAGUGUCAGAGUAUCACCCCGCAGAUGACUUGAUUAUGAACAAGAAAAAUAUACCUUACAAUGAAGAAAUCCAGCAGUCACCAACUUAACUUAGUGAUCACGCUUAGCACUACUAAUGGUGGAACAACCUGGCUUUAUAGGCCUCUUGAUUUGAUGCAACAUGAUGUAACAGUAUCACCUAUGAAGGAACCUUGCCAAAAGUGCUUAACCUGAAUAUAAUCAAGCCUUUUGACCCAACUUCCAGUUUACAGGAAAUGCACGGAGAGAGGAACAACUACAAUGAUCCUGGGAGGAGAAUCAGACAAAUCCAGAAUGUGGGACAUUCUAUAAGAAAACUGGCCUAAAUUCUUCAACAGGGAGUUGAAAGUGAUUUUUCCACUUUGUGUGCAGGUAGACUGAAGUAGAGCCAAUUAACCUGACAGUCAAUGGAAGAAUAAAACUCAUGUACCUGGGACAAGAAAGUGACUACAAUUUAUAGAUCUAAUAUGGGACUGUUGGUCUUGUGGUUUAUGAAGAGAAAAGUAAAGUAUUGGACAUGGAGCCAUGUUUAUUUACUCUCUUUUGCUGUGACUUGUAAAGUGCCCUGGGUUAAGGCACUUUACUUUUUUGGGUCACAUCUGGAAAAAAAAACAUGAGGAUAAGAUAUUUUGCUGUAUCCUCAUAAGACAAACAAACUGAUGUAAAUAUAAUAGCUACUUCUGACAGUUUGUGAGCCUGGAUUAACUGGUCAUGGGUUUUUUUUUGGUUGUCAUUGAUGUUGUGUUUUGUCUUACUCAAUUCUUCCUUUGCAUCAUUCUCAGAUCUCUAUUUUAUGACCAAAGGAAUACAUGUCAACAUGCUUGACUGGCAGGGGCAACAGCACACUGGACCUGGGUCUGUAGUUCUAGUGUGGCUUCUGCCUCUCACUAGCUGUGAGAGUUUCAG